AAUAUUACGCAAUGGGGGAAACCCUGACGCAGCGACGACGCGUGAGCGAGGAAGGCCUUCGGGUCGUAAAGCACAGUCAUCGGGGAAGAAAAGGACAGUACCCGAAGAGGAAGCCCCGGCUAACUACGUGCCAGCAGCCGCGGUAAUACGUAGGGGGCGAGCGUUGUCCGGAAUUACUGGGUGUAAAGGGCGUGUAGGCGGGUUACCAAGUUAUGGGUAAAAACCAAGGGCUCAACCCUGGGCUUGACGAUAAAACUGGUAAUCUUGAGUGCAGGAGAGGGAAGUGGAAUUCCCGGAGUAGCGGUGAAAUGCGUAGAUACCGGGAGGAACACCAGCGGCGAAGGCGGCUUCCUGGCCUGUAACUGACGCUGAGGCGCGAAAGCUAGGGUAGCGAAC
rnacentral:rRNA from 1 species